GUCUAUGGCCAUACCACCCUGAACACGCCCGAUCUCGUCUGAUCUCGGAAGCUAAGAAAAAGAGGUUUGGUGCCUUAGCCA
ensembl:rRNA 5S_rRNA 5S ribosomal RNA